rnacentral:rRNA from 1 species
CAGCCGCCGCGGUAAUACGUAGGUGGCAAGCGUUGUCCGGAAUUAUUGGGCGUAAAGCGCGCGCAGGCGGUUCCUUAAGUCUGAUGUGAAAUCUCGCGGCUCAACCGCGAGCGGCCAUUGGAAACUGGGGAACUUGAGUGCAGGAGAGGGGAGCGGAAUUCCACGUGUAGCGGUGAAAUGCGUAGAGAUGUGGAGGAACACCAGUGGCGAAGGCGGCUCUCUGGCCUGUAACUGACGCUGAGGCGCGAAAGCGUGGGGAGCGAACAGGAUUAGAUACCCGGGUAGUCCACGCCGUAAACGAUGAGUGCUAAGUGUUAGAGGGUAUCCACCCUUUAGUGCUGCAGCAAACGCAUUAAGCACUCCGCCUGGGGAGUACGGCCGCAAGGCUGAAACUUAAAGGAAUUGGCGGG